UUCAGCUUUUUCUGCUGAAAUAAUGUGACCAAAUCAAGUGUCACCUGGAAAGAGGAAUGUCAAGGGUGCUUUUUACGUUAACUCCAAAAUAGCCAUUGGAAAGUUCAAGCCAGAUAUGCUACAGCAAACUGAACAUAAAGUGACAUACUUGUGUGUCAGGAAACAAGGAACAUGUAUGGCUGGACUGAGAAUCUCACCGGGGAUCCCUGCAUCUCUACUUACAUAUCCCAUGGAAAUAUAGGAUCCUUGGCUAAUCAAGUGUCAUCUGCAGUGUUACAAAAGAAUAUUGGAUUUAUAUCAAUAAGAAAAAGAACUACAAGAAGGAGACGGUAAAGAGGAACGGACAUAUCACACCAUAAGACGUGCUUCAAAAUCUGAAUAUACAGAGUGAAUUUUGCUUACUGCAGAUCCUUGGGAAAAAACACCUUUGUUGUAUUGACAUAAAAACAACGGAAUUGUCAGGAUCCUUGAACAUGAUGCAACUGGCUGCAAACGAUGGCAAUUAAAAAUGCAUACAUGUUUACAUUGAUCUUUGUUAGCCAAUAAGACAAAAAGCAAGUUUAUCCUAUUACCGUACAUGUACUGAAUGUAUUCACUUUAUUUUGUUGAACUACAUCAUGAGUUUAAAAAUUGUACAGUAUCACAUACAGUUUAUGGUGGGAUUCCUCUAACUUUUAUGAAUCUGUUUGCAAAAUCUAUACUUUAAAGUUACAAAUUAUUACCUCUAAUACA